GACGAACGCUGGCGGCGUGCUUAACACAUGCAAGUCGAGCGGGGUCCAUCCGGUAGCAAUACCGGUGAAGACCUAGCGGCGAACGGGUGAGUAACACGUGAGCAACCUGCCCCGAAGUUUGGGAUAACACCGGGAAACCGGUGCUAAUACCAAAUGCCUUCACCGAGUCACCUGGCUUGGUGAAGAAAGAUUUAUCGCUUCGGGAGGGGCUCGCGGCCUAUCAGCUUGUUGGUGGGGUAACGGCCCACCAAGGCUUCGACGGGUAGCUGGUCUGAGAGGACGACCGC
rnacentral:rRNA from 1 species